rnacentral:tRNA from 1 species
GGGCCCGUGGCGCAGCUGGGAGCGCGCUUGAAUCGCACUCAAGAGGUCAGGGGUUCGAAUCCCCUCGGGUCCACCA